GCCUCUGUAGCUCAGUUGGUUAGUGCGCUGCACCGGAAUCGCAGGGCCGUAGGUUCAAUUCCUACCAGAGGAC
rnacentral:tRNA from 1 species